UAACAUGUCAGGGAAAAAAAAAAAAAAGUGUUUGAUUAUUCAGAUGGGGAACUCUUAAGCAGUUAAAUGAGUACCAGGAUCUGCAUGAGUGGUAACACAUCAGAAAAUAAUGCUUAUUUUCGAAAUAUUUUUUAAAAUCACCAAGCAGCAUGCAGCGAGGAACUAUUCACCUUCUACUGUCACGCUACAGUUUAUUCUCUCUUGGAAGCAAUUACAGGACAAAUGCCAAGCUACAGAAGGUAUUUUUCCAGCAGCAGCAUCUGGCUUCUUGGCAGACUCCUCAGGCAAUUUUAUUGGAAGCUUUAGAGAUGCUGUUGGGUCAGUCCUGGUUAUACUGCUUCAGAACUGCCUGGCAGAUUCUUCUUCCGAGAUGUCAUAAUCCUUCUGAUUUACCUUGAAGGAAUUAGCACACUUUUAUCCAUUUCAAAACCAGCUGACCUGCAAGGCAUUUCGGGGCUGCCUGCAGAGACACAGUAAAAGUCACUGGUGUAAAUCUGUGUGCCUUUGAACCAGCAGAAUUUCAGCACCCAGUGCCUGAUGCAUCAUCAAGGAAACAAGGAAGCCAUGCAAACAUUCUGUGUGUGUGUGCUACCAGUAAAUCGAGUGCACUCUUCAUGAUUAAAGGAAAAAAACACAAGAUGCAGGAAAGAUUAACUAGUUAAAAAACAGAAAGAGCUGUGAUCAUUAUUAAUCCUCAUGCAGAAGGAUGAAAGACAAGAUGCUGGUUUUGCCCGCCCUCUCUGCCUACCAACAAAAUCAAGUCCACAAGGGAAAGGCUUUCUGUCAGUUUGGGGCUGUCCUCUGGGAUUCAUACAGAGAAAAGGGACAGAAUGCUAUAAAAAGAGAAUUUAUAGUCCAUAACACAGGGAUUCCCAGAUGUGCUUGAAUGGUUAUUUUCUCUCAGAAAGGUUUCAGAAAGUCCCACAAAACUCUGUACCAGGUUAUUUUCUAGGAAAAAGAGUCCCAAUGCCCAAAGGUAAAUACUAAAGGAGCAAGUAAUGUACUCUGUAAUUUAAUAAAGGGCUACAGAUCUUGGAUUUUCAGUAACAGGAGUAUUCACUGAGCAGCGCAAGAGCAGACUGACAGCACUAAGGAAGAUACACAUAUCCAGGUCAAACAAAAAGCCAAACAGAGCUCU